rnacentral:rRNA from 1 species
AUGAACGCUAGCUACAGGCUUAACACAUGCAAGUCGAGGGGCAUCAGGAAGAAAGCUUGCUUUCUUUGCUGGCGACCGGCGCACGGGUGAGUAACACGUAUCCAACCUGCCCUUUACUCGGGGAUAGCCUUUCGAAAGAAAGAUUAAUACCCGAUAGCAUGAUGAUUCCGCAUGGUUUCAUUAUUAAAGGAUUCCGGUAAAGGAUGGGGAUGCGUUCCAUUAGGUUGUUGGUGAGGUAACGGCCCACCAAGCCUUCGAUGGAUAGGGGUUCUGAGAGGAAGGUCCCCCACAUUGGAACUGAGACACGGUCCAAACUCCUACGGGAGGCAGCAGUGAGGAAUAUUGGUCAAUGGGCGCUAGCCUGAACCAGCCAAGUAGCGUGAAGGAUGAAGGCUCUAUGGGUCGUAAACUUCUUUUAUAUAAGAAUAAAGUGCAGUAUGUAUACUGUUUUGUAUGUAUUAUAUGAAUAAGGAUCGGCUAACUCCGUGCCAGCAGCCGCGGUAAUACGGAGGAUCCGAGCGUUAUCCGGAUUUAUUGGGUUUAAAGGGAGCGUAGGUGGACUGGUAAGUCAGUUGUGAAAGUUUGCGGCUCAACCGUAAAAUUGCAGUUGAUACUGUCAGUCUUGAGUACAGUAGAGGUGGGCGGAAUUCGUGGUGUAGCGGUGAAAUGCUUAGAUAUCACGAAGAACUCCGAUUGCGAAGGCAGCUCACUGGACUGCAACUGACACUGAUGCUCGAAAGUGUGGGUAUCAAACAGGAUUAGAUACCCUGGUAGUCCACACAGUAAACGAUGAAUACUCGCUGUUUGCGAUAUACAGUAAGCGGCCAAGCGAAAGCAUUAAGUAUUCCACCUGGGGAGUACGCCGGCAACGGUGAAACUCAAAGGAAUUGACGGGGGCCCGCACAAGCGGAGGAACAUGUGGUUUAAUUCGAUGAUACGCGAGGAACCUUACCCGGGCUUAAAUUGUAGUGGAAUGAUGUGGAAACAUGUCAGUGAGCAAUCACCGCUGUGAAGGUGCUGCAUGGUUGUCGUCAGCUCGUGCCGUGAGGUGUCGGCUUAAGUGCCAUAACGAGCGCAACCCUUAUCUUCAGUUACUAACAGGUCAUGCUGAGGACUCUGGAGAGACUGCCGUCGUAAGAUGUGAGGAAGGUGGGGAUGACGUCAAAUCAGCACGGCCCUUACGUCCGGGGCUACACACGUGUUACAAUGGGGGGUACAGAAGGCAGCUAGCGGGUGACCGUAUGCUAAUCCCAAAAGCCUCUCUCAGUUCGGAUCGAAGUCUGCAACCCGACUUCGUGAAGCUGGAUUCGCUAGUAAUCGCGCAUCAGCCACGGCGCGGUGAAUACGUUCCCGGGCCUUGUACACACCGCCCGUCAAGCCAUGGGAGCCGGGGGUACCUGAAGUACGUAACCGCAAGGAUCGUCCUAGGGUAAAACUGGUGACUGGGGCUA